rnacentral:tRNA from 1 species
UGGGAGGUCGUCUAACGGUAGGACAAUGGGCUUUGGCCCCAUUAAUCCAGGUUCGAAUCCUGGCCUCCCAG